rnacentral:rRNA from 1 species
UUCGAUCAUGGCUCAGAUUGAACGCUGGCGGGAUGCUUUACACAUGCAAGUCGAACGGUAGCACGGACUUCGGUCUGGUGGCGAGUGGCGAACGGGUGAGUAAUGUAUCGGAACGUGCCUAGUAGCGGGGGAUAACUACGCGAAAGCGUAGCUAAUACCGCAUACACCCUUCAGGGAAAGCGAGGGGACCUUCGGGCUCCGCACUGUAGAGCGGCCGAUAUCGGAUUAGCUAGUUGGUGGGGUAACGGCUCUGCGGGCGACGAUCCGUAGCUGGUUUGAGAGGACGACCAGCCACACUGGGACUGAGACACGGCCCGAACCGGAAGGGCAGCGGUGAAAUUUUGGACAAUGGGGGAAACCUGAUCAGCCAUCCCGCGUGUGCGAUGAAGGCCUUCGGGUUGUAAAGCACUUUUGGCAGAAGAAACGGCACGGGAUAAUGCCCCGUGCAACUGACGGUACCUGCAGAAUAAGCACCGGCUAACUACGUGCCAGCAGCCGCAGUAAUACGUAGGGUGCAAGCGUUAAUCGAUUACUGGGCGUAAAGCGUACUCGCCGAGCGGUUUGUUCGGAAAAGAAAGAUGUGAAAUCCCAGAGCUUAACUUUGGAACUGCAUUUUUAACUACCGAGCUAGAGUGUGUCCAGAGGAGGUGGAAUUCCGCGUGUAGCAGUGAAAUGCGUAGAUAUGCGGGAGGAGCACCGAUGGCGAAGGCAACCUCCUGGGAUAACACUGACGCUCAUGCACGAAAGCGUGGGGAGCAAACGGGAUUAGAUGCAGUUGACGCUGCUGGGCGAUCUGAAGCUUGCAGCUUUGUUGGGGCCUUCGGGCCUUGGUAGCGCAGCUAACGCGUGAAGUUGACGCCUGGGGAAGUACGGUCGCAAGAUUAAAACUCAAAGGAAUUAGCCGGGGACCCACCUAAACGGUGGAUGAUGUGGAUUAAUUCGAUGCAACGCGAAGAAGACGUGACAUUGCUAUCGGCUGCAUGUCUGGAAUCCCUUUGAAGAGAUUUGGGAGUGCUCGCAAGAGAACCGGAACACAGGUGCAUGGCUGUCGUCAGCUCGUGUCGUGAGAUGUUGGGUUGAUCCCACAACAGGCGCAACCCUUGUCGUGGUUGCUACGAAAGGGCACUCUAAUGGAGACUGCCUCCGGUGACAAACCGGAGGAAGGUGGGGAUGACGUCAAGUCCUCAGCGGGUAGGGCUUCACACGUGCUACAAUGGUCGGGACAGAGGGUCGCCAACCCCGCGAGGGAGGCCAAUCCCGAAACCCGAUCGUAGUCAGGAUCGCAGUCUGCAACUCGACUGCGUGAGUGAAUACUUCUAGUAAUCGCGGAUCAGCAUGUCGCGGUGAAUACGUUCCCGGGUCUUGUACACACCGCCCGUCACACCAUGGGAGUGGUUUUACCAGAAGUAGUUAGCUACAACAAUAGGAGGGCGAUUACCACGGUAGGAUUCAUGACUGGGGUAAGUCGUAACUGGGUAG